rnacentral:rRNA from 1 species
UACAGAGGGUGCGAGCGUUGUUCGGAAUUACUGGGCGUAAAGCGCGCGCAGGCGGCCCUUUAAGUCUACCCGUGAAAUGCCGGAGCUCAACUCCGUGCACGCCGGGGGAUACUGGAGGGCUGUAGACGAGUAGAGGCAAGCGGAAUUCCGGGUGUAGCGGUGGAAUGCGUAGAGAUCCGGAAGAACACCGGAGGCGAAGGCGGCUUGCUGGGCUUGGUCUGACGCUGAGGCGCGAAAGCGUGGGGAGCGAACAGG